GAUGAACGCUAGCGGAAGGCUUAAUACAUGCAAGUCGAGCGGUAGGUGGCUUCGGCCAUUGAGAGCGGCGCACGGGUGAGUAACGCGUACAUGACCUGCCUGUCAGAAGGGGAUAGCCCUGGGAAACUGGGAUUAAUACCCUAUGGUAUUGAUAUUACGAAUGAUAUCAAUUAAAGUUGAGGCGCUGACAGAUGGAUGUGCGUCUGAUUAGCUAGUUGGUAGGUAACGGCCUACCAAGGCGACGAUCAGUAGGGGGCGUGAGAGCGUGGUCCCCCACACGGGUACUGAGACACGGACCCGACUCCUACGGGAGGCAGCAGUAAGGAAUAUUGGUCAAUGCCCGCAAGGGUGAACCAGCCAUUCCGCGUGGAGGAUGAAGGCCCUAUGGGUUGUAAACUUCUUUUAGAUGGGAAGAAAAUGCUAGAUGUAUCUGGUACUGACGGUACCAUCAGAAUAAGCACCGGCUAACUCCGUGCCAGCAGCCGCGGUAAU
rnacentral:rRNA from 1 species